CGGGUCAGAGCUCCCAGCUUUCCAGGAAAGUGAGGAGACGCCCACACCCCCCAAGCUCCGUGGGAACCUGCGGCCACCCCCUCUCUGAGGCCAGGACCGGCGUAAGCCACCAAAGUGUCCCCAGCCCAGUCAUCUUAGGAGGACCCCAGCUGGGGGCGGGGGAGGGGGGAUUUGCGGGCGGGGCCCAGACCUCCUCUCUUCUCAGCCUUGGCUUCUCACCCCAAGUCCAAGGUGCCUGUGGGGGCCCCCAGACCUCACUGCCCACAUCCUGACCGCAGACCAGGCGCCCACGGAGAACCAGAGGGGAGGCGGGGGAGGGGGCGCUGCCGCCUCCCGGGGGGCUUCGAGAUGCAAGGCGACUCUUUUAUUCCCCGCGUGAGUCCAGAGGGCGGGAGCCCAGCCCACGCAGCGCACGGGACGCGGCCUCAGACGGACUCUCAGGACGGAACGGAAGCUCCCUGGUUUACAGAAUUACUCAGCAGACUCCAAGCUCAGCGCGUCCGAGGCGCUGCUUCAACCCCAAAUAACAGAAACCCGACGUGAGAUGCCCAGACUGGUGUCCGCACUCUUCUCGCCCUUGCCUUCCACUCUGCUGGCCUCGGUCGAGUCCUCCUGAUGACACCAUGGCUGCCAGGCCUGCCACAGUUCCGGGAGUCGACAAACGCCUCCCGGUGCCAUUCACAGGAGAACCUUCUGGAAGGUCUCAGCAACCUUCCCUCCCAGCUCACUCACUGGUCAGAGCAGGUCACACGCUCACCUUAAACCACCGUGACCGGCUUGCAUCCCUCAGACGCUGCCCGGCCCGCUCAGGAGAGGCGUGAGGACUGGGGUUCUGUGGGCUCAGGGGGGCCUCUGCUCUGUUUCUCACUCGUGCCCCUGCCCCCGUGCAGACAGCGUCCCGCCCUGUUCUCUCUGGAACCAGCAGCGUCCCCCUUGCGCCUGGCAGCUUUGCCUCCUGGUCUCACACGGAGGCCCGUCUUACGAUCGACCGCAGGUGGGAUGAGGCGAAAUCCGCUUCCUUGGCAGUGGACGGAGCCUUCGCACCCAGACGCACCUUGACCGGGAGGUGGACGCGUGCCCGGGGACAGGUGUGACAACA
rnacentral:lncRNA from 1 species